CCUACGGGGGGCUGCAGUGGGGAAUAUUGCACAAUGGGGGAAACCCUGAUGCAGCAAUGCCGCGUGAGCGCCGAAGGCCUUCGGGUCUUAAAGCUCUGUCCUAAGGGAAGAAGCAUGACGGUACCUUAGGAGGAAGCCCCGACUAACUACGCGCCAGCAGCCGCGGUACUACCUAGGGGGCUGGCGUUAUCCGGAAUCACUCGGCUUAAAGGGUGCGGUGGCGGCGGAUUGAGCCAGGGGUGAAAGGCUAGGGCUCAACCGGAGUAAGGCGUUGGAACUGAUUGGGUUGUGUGCCGGGGGUGAGAGUGGAAUUACUAGUGUAGGGGUGAAAUGGGUAGAUUUUAGGGGGAACACCAGUGGCGAAGGCGACUCUCUGGACUGUAACUGAGGCUGAGGCACGAAAGCGUGGGGAGCAAACAGGAUUAGAUACCGCAGUAGUC
rnacentral:rRNA from 1 species